rnacentral:lncRNA from 1 species
CUUUCCCAUCCCUGAGAGUUAUGUGGGCCUGUGAAGCCUAUACAGGAGUUCAGAAUGCCUAUCACAUACAGAGAUGAUCAGAUGUUGACAGAAAAGAUGUUUAUGUAGCUGAGGAUUCAUUCAAGUUGAAAGGAAGGCAGACUGUUCUGUGCAGGACCAAGAUGGGGGCCUCUGCGGCAGGCCAAAAGGAGUCUGUCUGCAGCCAGGCCAGCCUGGCCCUUAUUCACCUGAGUCAGGUGUUAAAAUGUGCAGUAGGUUUCUUUCUCUCUUUGACUUAGUUAUGCAAUUUUUUUUCCUUGCUGCACUGCCCAGCAUGCAGGGAUCUUAGUUCCCUGACCAGGAAUCGAACCCAUUCCCUCCGCAGUUAACGCUCAGAGCUCUAACCACUUGCCUGCCAGGAGAUUCCUUGCAUUUCCUUUUUUUUUUUCCUUCUAAUUUAUAUAGCUGCUCCAGGUCUUAGUUGUGGCAUGCGGGAUUUUUAGUUAGGGCAUGUGGGAUCUUGUUCCCUAACCAGGCAUCAAACUCAGGCCCCCUGCAUUGGGAGCUCAGAGUCUUAACUGGUUCAGAAACUGCCAGGGAAGUCCCUGCAUUUCUUUUUUAACAGCUUUUAACAAGUGAAUUUCAUGGUGUGUAAGUUUUAUUGAGAUGUAGUUUACAUACCAUGAAAUUCACUUGCUAUAAUCAUACAAUUCAGUAAUUUUUUAGCAAAUUCAGAGCAGUGCAAAUACCCCCACAAUCUAAUUUUAGAACGUGUCCCUCACCCCAAGUACCUUGUGCCCUUUUUUUUGUAAUUCCUUGUUUCCACUCAGUAACUGCUUUUAAAAUUCUGUAGUUAAAAAGUGAUUUAGACUUGUGGUUUGAAAUGGAAAUACUAUAAAGUUUAUAUAUUGUGUUUAAACAUUUAAGAGAACUUUAGGUUCAACAUAUUCAAAAGUCUAUUAGAACUAUUUAAUGCUCAAGGCGGUUUUUUUCUUUGCUAAUUUGGACAAUUAAGUACUUCAAAAGGAAACCAAAUGUAUUACACCUAUAAAUG